UUUUAAAGACGAGGAGGGGCUAUGUGUUAAGCCUCUAAUUUGCUCAACUCUCUCCCGAAAGCCUUUGGCGACGCGAUCUCGGGAGAGUUCCUCCGCUUUUGAAGAUUUUUACUAUUUUUCUUUAAAAGUUUACAAUGGGAAAGGAGAAGGUUCACAU